GAUGUGAUUCUUGGGAAAAGGUGGAUCUUGAUCUUGGAAACUACGAGAGGUUUUUAGAUAUUAAAUUAACCAGAGACAAUAACAUCACUACUGGGAAAAUUUACCAGCAUGUUAUUGCUAAAGAGAGGAAAGGAGAUUAUUUGGGAAAGACUGUUCAGGUUGUUCCUCAUGUCACUGAUGCUAUUCAAGAUUGGAUUGAGAGAGUUGCGGUUAUUCCUGUUGAUGGAGA